rnacentral:lncRNA from 1 species
GGGGCUCGUGGGGAGUGGGAGGAAGCUGGGGAGAAGAUGAGUUGAGAGCAGUCCAGUGUGAGGGAAAGUGGGGAUCCUGGGCCAACUUACCAUUAAGAGGGUCCAGUCCUGUGACUGCUGUGAAGUAACCAGGAUUCCACAUAGAGAUGGGGCUCAAAGUCAGCCCAGGAGCAGCACUGUGGUCCCAGCAGCACCUCUGGGCCAGUCCAGCCAGGUGUAGAGUGAAGCUGAGCCCUUGAUUCAUCCUUGAUUCCAUUGUGAAGUCACACAGCAGCUUGGUGUGUUAAAGGCAAACCUCAUGGGUGUCUAGUAAGCCUUGAUUGUUU